UGGGGAAUAUUGCACAAUGGGCGCAAGCCUGAUGCAGCCAUGCCGCGUGAAUGAUGAAGGCCUUAGGGUUGUAAAAUUCUUUCGCUAGGGAUGAUAAUGACAGUACCUAGUAAAGAAGCCCCGGCUAACUUCGUGCCAGCAGCCGCGGUAAUACGGAGGGGGCUUGCGUUGUUCGGAAUUACUGGGCGUAAAGCGCACGUAGGCGGACCUUUAAGUCAGAUGUGAAAUCCGGAGGCUCAACCUCGGAACUGCAUUUGAAACUGGGAGUCUAGAGAUCAGGAGAGGUUAGCGGAAUACCGAGUGUAGAGGUGAAAUUCGGAGAUAUUCGGUGGAACACCAGUGGCGAAGGCGGCUAACUGGACUGAUACUGACGCUGAGGUGCGAAAGUGUGGGGAGCAGACAGGAUUAGAUACCCCCGUAGUCC
rnacentral:rRNA from 1 species